rnacentral:rRNA from 1 species
AUUGAACGCUGGCGGCAGGCCUAACACAUGCAAGUCGAGCGGUAACACAGGGAGCUUGCUCCUGGGUGACGAGCGGCGGACGGGUGAGUAAUGUCUGGGAAACUGCCUGAUGGAGGGGGAUAACUACUGGAAACGGUAGCUAAUACCGCAUAACGUCGCAAGACCAAAGAGGGGGAGCUUCGGGCCUCUUGCCAUCAGACGUGCCCAGAUGGGAUUAGCUAGUAGGUGGGGUAACGGCUCACCUAGGCGACGAUCCCUAGCUGGUCUGAGAGGAUGACCAGCCACACUGGAACUGAGACACAGCCCAGACUCCUACGGGAGGCAGCAGUGGGGAAUAUUGCACAAUGGGCGCAAGCCUGAUGCAGCCAUGCCGCGUGUAUGAAGAAGGCCUUAGGGUUGUAAAGUACUUUCAGCGGGGAGGAAGGCGUUGAGGUUAAUAACCUCAGCGAUUGACGUUACCCGCAGAAGAAGCACCGGCUAACUCCGUGCCAGCAGCCGCCGCCG